rnacentral:rRNA from 1 species
UACGUAGGGUGCGAGCGUUAAUCGGAAUUACUGGGCGUAAAGUGUGCGCAGGCGGCCGCGCAAGUCGAGUGUGAAAGCCCCGGGCUUAACUUGGGAAUUGCGCUCGAAACUACGUGGCUGGAGUGUGGCAGAGGAAGGUGGAAUUCCAGGUGUAGCGGUGAAAUGCGUAGAUAUCUGGAGGAACACCGGUGGCGAAGGCGGCGUCCUGGACCAACACUGACACUGAUGAGCGAAAGCCAGGGGAGCAAACGGGG